rnacentral:rRNA from 1 species
UACGGGGGGAGCAAGCGUUGUUCGGAUUUACUGGGCGUAAAGGGCGCGUAGGCGGCCACCGAAAGUCGACUGUGAAAUCUCCGGGCUUAACCCGGAAAGGUCAGCCGAUACUGCGGGGCUAGAGUGCAGAAGGGGCAACUGGAAUUCUCGGUGUAGCGGUGAAAUGCGUAGAUAUCGAGAGGAACACCUGCGGCGAAGGCGGGUUGCUGGGCUGACACUGACGCUGAGGCGCGAAAGCUAGGGGAGCGAACGGG